rnacentral:rRNA from 1 species
GCAAGCGGCCAGGGUAAUGGGGAGGGACCGGGCGUUAUGGGAACGUAUGGGGACGUUGGGAGCGAAGUCCGUCUGUUAAGCGUGUUGUGAAAUGUACAUUCUCAACAUCUGAUUUGCAGCGCGAAAUGGCAAACUUGAAUGUGCGCAACGUAGGCGGAAUUCGUGGUGUAGCGGUGAAAUGCUUAGAUAUCACGAAAAACUCCGAUUGCUAAGGCACCUUACGGGAGCACAACUGACGCUGAAGCUCGAAAGUGCGGGUAUCGUACACGAUUACAUACCCUGGUAGUCCGCACGGUAAACGAUGGAUGCCCGCUGUUGACCCACCUGGGCCAGCGGCCAAGCGAAAGCAUUAAGCAUCCCACCUGGGGAGUACGCCGGCA